CUUGGAAAGCGUCUCGCUCGCCCCAACGCGCGCUACUUCUCCGGCGGGCGCCGGGCUCAGGGGCACAUGCUGCCCCCGCCCCUGUGCGCCUGCGGCUUCUAGCUCGCAGUCCCCUGCGCAGAGCUUUCGCCUCGCUUUCCGCGGGAGCCUUCCCGCGGGUCCUCGGCUGGCAAGUACAGAGAGCGAUGGAGAAGGAAGUUAGGGCUGCCGCUUUCUCUCCCCACUCCAGCGGCGGCGUUCAGUCCUCUGGGUGGGAUGUGCUCGCAGCAGCAGUGGCGACGGCAGCAGCAGCGGAGGCGCCCGAGCCAUGCACCCCGCAGGCGGGGACGAGAGGAUGGCCGGGAGGAAGAAACCCGGGUGAACCAGCCCAGUGAAGUCCCAGGGCCGCAGAGCUGCACCGGAAAUCUGACCUGGAGAAGCCUUCUCCUCCAGCCUGGACACUUUAAGCAGAGGUGGCGGCAUACAGCGUGAGGUUGCACAGCGGACAGUGAGCCUCCCUAGUUACGACGUUGCUCUGACCUGCGGAGAUGACAAGUGAGCAGGAAGUGUCCGGCCGGGCCAUCCCCUUCAGGCACACACAGCCACAGAGGGGGUAGCUGAGCCGCGUGCAAGAAGUACCCUGUAAAUCGUCAGCGCAACAAGCCCCGCAGUCACCCCUCUUCCGGACUCUUUAGCCCCACCGCGCUUCCCCGGAGGCAUCGUUGGAGCCUUUGGCUAUUGACGCCAAGAAGCAAAGGAAGAUCCGGCUGGGGAGACGUAGCUGUCUCAGGUUUCACACCAAGCUCGCCAGAGGGUUUGGAGGAUUGUAUGUAAAUUGAAAUAAAUUCUCCAAAGCCUGA